CUGGGAUACGGCAGUCGGUUGCUCCUGCGGUAGAGGCAUGGAGGCCGGUUGCUUCUGCUGCUGGGGAAAUUGAGCUGGAUGCCACACUUGCUCGGGAAUGGAGGUCGGUUCAAUUUGCUGCUGAAGUUCAGCGGCCGGUUGCUUCUGCAGCUGGGGCUUUUGAGCUGGAUACACUGGUUGCUGUGGAAUGGUGGUCGGUUGCUUCUGCGGCAUGGAGGCCAGAUGCUUCUGAGGCAUUUGAGCUGGAUACCACACUUGCUGGGAUACGGCAGUCAGUUGCUCCUGCGGUAGAGGCGUGGAGGCCGGUUGCUUCUGCUGCUGGGGAAAUUGAGCUGGAUGCCACUCUUGCUUAGUUAUGGCGGUCAGUUCCUUCUGCCUCCGAGUUGCAGCGGCUUGUAUCUUCUGGACCAUUUUAGCUGGAUACCACACAUCGUGAGUCUGCUGGGGCAUAGGGGCCUGUUGCUUCUGCGCCAGAUGCCACACUUGCUGAAGCAUGGUAGACGGUUGCUUAUGCUGCUGGGGCAUUUGAGCCAUUUGCCACAGUUGUUGGGGUAUGGCAGUCAGUUCCUUCUGCGCUAGAUGCAUAGGGGCUGGUUGCUUCUGCUCCUGGGGAAAUUGAUCUGAAUGCCACACUUGCUGAGGUGGCUGGGGCAUGGCGGUCGGUUCAAUUUGCUGCUGAGGUUCAGUAGCUGGUUGCUUUUGCUGCUGAGGCAUUUGAGCUGGAUGCCACACUUGCGGGGGCAUGGUGGCCAGUUGCUUCUGCGGUUGAGGCAUUGGGGCUGGUUGCUUCUGCAGCAUGGUGGCCAGUUGUUUCUGCUGCUGGGGAAUGUGAGCUGGACACCACACUUGCUGGGGCAUGGAGCUUGGUUGCGUCUGCAGCAUUUGAGCUGGAUGCCACACUUGCUGGGGCAUGGUGGCCGGUUGCUUCUGCAGUGGAGGCAUUGGGGCUGGUUGCUUCUGCUGCAUUUGAGCUGGAUACCAUGCUUGCUGGGGCAUAGCGGUUGGUUGUUUCUGCAGUAUAGGAAUUGGAGCCAGUUGCUUCUGGGGCAUGGUGGUCAGUUCCUUCUGCUGCUGGGGAAUUUGUACUGGAUACCACACUUGCUGAGGUAGCUGGGGUAUGGAGGCCUGUUCCUUCUGAUGCUGAAGUUCAGUAGCUGGUUGCUUCUGGGGCAUUUGAGCUGGAUACAACACUGCUUGAGGCUGCUUAGGAUAACUGUCCGGUAGAGUCUGCUGUUGGGUCAUGGCGGCCGGUUGCUUUUCCUGCUGGGGCAUUUGAGCUGGAUACCACAUUUUCUGAGGUGCCUGGGGCAUGUGGACCAGUUGCUUUUGCAGGAUGACGGCCGGAUGCUUCUGUUGCUCUUCGGUCAGCUGCGCUUGCAUUUGAGCUGUUGGAGAGUUGUAAUUACCAUAUCCUUUAGACCUAAGUGAGCCGGCAUAGAGCCAUGCUGCAUCAGAACCUAGUGCAGGAUACCCAUCACCUAGGUUAGAAAAAGAGAAAAAUAGUAAAAUGCCAGCCUUUGAAGUUAUUGGAAAUUAAUGUGUAGAAACUCACUUGAUGUAGAACAGGUUAUCCCUCCAAUUAGCAGGCAACAAAGCCAAG
rnacentral:lncRNA from 1 species